ensembl:snRNA U2 U2 spliceosomal RNA
AUCACUUCUUGGUCUUUUGGUUAAGAUCAAGUGUAGUAUCUGUUCUUAUCAGUUUAAUAAAAGCUGAAGGAGAUAAUGUAGAUAAAAUGCCAAGGACCUGGCAUAUAAAAACCUCUACAAAUAUUAUUCUUUUCCUAUCUAUA